rnacentral:rRNA from 1 species
GACGAACGCUGGCGGCGUGCUUAACACAUGCAAGUCGAACGGAAAGGCCCUGCUUUUGUGGGGUGCUCGAGUGGCGAACGGGUGAGUAACACGUGAGUAACCUGCCCUUGACUUUGGGAUAACUUCAGGAAACUGGGGCUAAUACCGGAUAGGAGCUCCUGCUGCAUGGUGGGGGUUGGAAAGUUUCGGCGGUUGGGGAUGGACUCGCGGCUUAUCAGCUUGUUGGUGGGGUAGUGGCUUACCAAGGCUUUGACGGGUAGCCGGCCUGAGAGGGUGACCGGCCACAUUGGGACUGAGAUACGGCCCAGACUCCUACGGGAGGCAGCAGUGGGGAAUAUUGCACAAUGGGCGGAAGCCUGAUGCAGCAACGCCGCGUGCGGGAUGACGGCCUUCGGGUUGUAAACCGCUUUCGAAUGUGACGAAGCGUGAGUGACGGUAAUGGGUAAAGAAGCACCGGCUAACUACGUG